AAUAUUGAGACAUAUAAAAAAAGACAACUCUGUUCCGCAGAGUAGCUGUUGACAUUAUAGUUGCGCAGGCACUUUGUUGACUCUAGAGAACCUCGGGUCAAUCGCACAUCCCUGUGGCGGCGACUUUGCAUGCGGAUGUCAUCCAUAUCAACUUUCGAUGCCAGUUUCUGCGCCUACCAUGGUGACCAUGGGUAAUGGGGAAUCAGGGUUCCAUUCCGUACAGGGACCCUGAGAAACAACUACCACAUGCAAGGAAGGCAGCAGGCGUGCAAAUGACCCACUCCCGAUGCGGGAAGGUAGUGA
rnacentral:rRNA from 1 species